UACGGAAGGAGCAGUGGGGAAUAUUGCACAAUGGGCGCAAGCCUGAUGCAGCCAUGCCGCGUGUAUGAAGAAGGCCUUCGGGUUGUAAAGUACUUUCAGCGGGGAGGAAGGCGAUGCGGUUAAUAACCGCGUCGAUUGACGUUACCCGCAGAAGAAGCACCGGCUAACUCCGUGCCAGCAGCCGCGGUAAUACGGAGGGUGCAAGCGUUAAUCGGAAUUACUGGGCGUAAAGCGCACGCAGGCGGUCUGUUAAGUCAGAUGUGAAAUCCCCGGGCUUAACCUGGGAACUGCAUUUUGAAACUGGCAGGCUUGAGUCUUGUAGAGGGGGUAGAAUUCCAGGUGUAGCGGUGAAAUGCGUAGAGAUCUGGAGGAAUACCGGUGGCGAAGGCGGCCCCUGGGACAAGACUGACGCUCAGGGUGCGAAAGCGUGGGGAGCAAACGAGGAUUAGAUACC
rnacentral:rRNA from 1 species